rnacentral:rRNA from 1 species
UGGGGAAUAUUGGACAAUGGGCGAAAGCCUGAUCCAGCCAUGUCGCGUGUGUGAAGAAGGUCUUCGGAUUGUAAAGCACUUUAAGUUGGGAGGAAGGGCAUUAACCUAAUACGUUAGUGUUUUGACGUUACCGACAGAAUAAGCACCGGCUAACUCUGUGCCAGCAGCCGCGGUAAUACAGAGGGUGCAAGCGUUAAUCGGAAUUACUGGGCGUAAAGCGCGCGUAGGUGGUUUGUUAAGUUGGAUGUGAAAUCCCCGGGCUCAACCUGGGAACUGCAUUCAAAACUGACUGACUAGAGUAUGGUAGAGGGUGGUGGAAUUUCCGGUGUAGCGGUGAAAUGCGUAGAUAUAGGAAGGAACACCAGUGGCGAAGGCGACCACCUGGACUAAUACUGACACUGAGGUGCGAAAGCGUGGGGAGCAAACA